CCAUGAUCCUGUGCAGCAGGCCAUCCCAUCAGGUUGACAUCCAUCCUUGCAUCUCUUUCCGGUGACGUACCGACUCUCUCCGCCUUCAGCGAGUCCCAGAUGUUGCAGUUGAAGUCGUCGUACCCAGCGAGGAUGAGUCUUCCAGAGAGGGAGGGAGCGAGGGAGGUCACGCCGCACAUGAUGCCGGAGUCCUGGUCUGUCUGCACUGGCCGUCACGGAUGUCCCACAGUUUGGCUGUGAAGUCACAGGCUCCUGAGAUGAAAGUGUUGAAGUCAGGGGCCACACCCAGAGACAUACAGUCACCCAGAUGACCUGAACACCGUCUUCUGCGUUCCUGUCUCAAUGUCCCACAGAACACUGAAAACAGGUUAUAGAUGGAGCACAUGUUGUCAAGUCCUCCACACGCCACCAUGUUUCCUGAAGGUGCGUACGCACAUGUCAUCACCCACGAGGACUUCAGUGGGAUUGCGUGCACCUAAACCACAAUCAGAGAGGAUGGAUGUUUACUUCGAGUCCCCCCAGUGCACGGCAUAGAUUUUGGACAGAUGUCCUCUCAAUGUCUUCCUGGUCUUUAGCUGGACACGGCCCACAACAGCUGUCCCCGCCACAUGAUCCUGCAGCGUGAGGCUCUCCGCCUCCUUUCGCAGUUGCUCCAUUUCACCCAUGGCAACGGUAGUCAGGCACGGUCACCCACAGAUACAGACAGGAAGUGAGUGCUAAUGUACCGCAGGACGUCAACACCUCCCCUCCUCCCUCUCUCCGCUCACUUGUUUUAAUGUACUGUUGUCUAGAUGUAUUAAACACUUGUACCUUCUGUCUUUUUUGUCUCAGUUUUGAUUCUGAGAAACAAUAAUAAACUAAUAAUAAAUUAAAGGUGUGCACUGUUGUGUUGAUCGCUUUG